rnacentral:rRNA from 1 species
UACAGAGGUCCCAAGCGUUGUUCGGAUUCAUUGGGCGUAAAGGGUGCGUAGGCGGCGCGGUAAGUCGGGUGUGAAAUCUCAGGGCUUAACUCCGAAACUGCAUUCGAUACUGCCGUGCUUGAGUCCCGGAGAGGAAAGCGGAACUGCACGUGUAGCGGUGAAAUGCGUUGAUAUGUGCAGGAACACCAAUGGCGAAGGCAGCUUUCUGGACGAGGACUGACGCUCAUGUUCGAAAGCCAAGGUAGCGAACAGG